GUAUGGAACACCGUGCAGGUUAAUAAUAGCUACUGUUGAGGCUAGCUGCAUCCGACACUUCGUUAUAGGAUGAUGCAGGUGGAAUCGUUUUAUCCGUUUCAAAGAUCUGACUGAGUGAGAGUGUGUGGGAUGUGGGGUGUGAGAGACAGAGAGACUGCAAGAUAAAUCAUGUUUGAGGAAGAGAGAGACUUGUGAGAGAAAGUGAAAGCGUGAGAGUGAGAGAGAGUGAAAGAGGCAGAGUGUGUGUGAGAGAGAGAAAGAGAGAGAAGAUGAGGAGACUCCUUCAGGACUCUCCUCUGCGUUGCGUGGUAAAACUCUGGUCUCAGUCCUGCCUGGAGUUCUCUCUUCUCUAAGACCUUCCUGCUCCUCUCAGCUGGUUUCCUCUUCAUGAAGACCACUGACAUUGGUGAUGUGAUGAAUAAAUUUGAAGUCCUUGGCAUUGUAGGUGAAGGAGCCUAUGGAGUAGUCCUGAAGUGCAGGCACAAGGUAAGACCA